ensembl:lncRNA
AAAUAAUGAUUUUUAUUUUUUUCUAUUAUAGUUGGUUUACAGUGUCUACUGUACAACAGAGUGACCCAGGCACACACACACAUACACACAUAUAUAUUCUUUUUCUCACAUAAUCCUCCAUCAUGCUCCAUCACAAGUGACUAGAUACAGUUUUCAGUGCUAUAUACCAGGAUCUUGUUGCUUAUUCAUUCCAAAGGCAAUAGUUUGCAUCAUGGCUCCUCCUUCCUGGAGCACUAUGCCCACCUGCAUUUGUGCUCUCCAUGUGGGUGGGUUGGGUAGUGACCUCCUGGAGCACAGAGGUUGUCAGGGGGCCUCCAGGGCAUCUUUGUAUCUAUGAUGGGUGUUGACUGGUUGUCCAUUAGCAGGUGAGGUUGCUGAGAAGCCAGAGCUCACCCAUGCACCCAUGGUAUGAAUAUUCUGUGUUAUUUGAUCUUGGCCUGGGUUUGGCUGGCUUUGAGUCAGAAUUGGCAAAUGCAUGGUACACCUCGUCCCUCAAUGUGAAGUCUAUGACUCCCUAGCUCAUCACAACACUAUUUCCUACUGAGCCCAAUGAGACCUCAGAAUCCUUCUUAACCCAGUGUUCCAGGCAGCAAGGACCAAAUAUCUGGAGAACGUUUUUAAGUUAAGUCCAGGUUUCCUUCUCUUUCUCAAAUCCUCGUGACUCAGCUUUGCCACUGGAUACACAAGGAAUUUGAGGCACAUAGUCUCUUUUAUGCCUAAUCCUGUAGGCGCUUCUCUUUAAAAGAUCUGCUUGGGGAGUUCCCGUUGCAGCUCAGCAGUUAACGAAUCUGACUAGGAAGCAUGAGAUGGUGGCUUCAAUCUCUGGCCUUGCUCAGUGAGGUAAGGAUCCGGUGUUGCCGUGAGCUGUGGUGUAGGCCUCAGACAUGGCUCAGAUCUGGUAUUGCUCUGGCGUAGGCCAGCAGCUACAGCUCCAAUUCGCCCCCUAGCCUGGGAACCUCCAUAUACCGUGGGAGCGGCCCUAGAAAAGGCAAAAAGACUAAAUAAAUAAAUAAGAAAUAAAUAAAAGAUCAGCUUGGGGGACAAGGAUGCUCAAAGAACAGGAGUGUUAGCUGGACCAUUGUUUUCUGAGAGGUCAACUCUCCUGGAGAUAGUCCUGGAGAUAGAAAAUAUUUACGCUUUUUAGGUCUUCUAUCAAAGUUUUGCCAUCUUGCUGUUCUUUCCUAAAACAACAGAUUCUUCUGGGGCUUUAGGAGCUAUCCUGUAGGAAGGUUCAUUUGUUGGGUUUGUUUGGGUAGGUGUGGGUGGCACUGGCAGAGGCCACCAGCGAUAUCUGUCUUCCCGAACAGAAGCACCAAGCUUAGAUUCUAGAGCCCCUUCCAACAGGGCCCUGGGGCAGGAUCCGGGGCAGGAAACAUCAUUAGAUAAAGGAAAGGCUAUUCCAUAAAACUAUUCAUGGCCAAAGGGGCCCUGGCCAUCCUCUACCACAACCUCCAUCUGCAGGGUGACCUUCUGCAGCCACCACCACUGCACCUGUCAGACAUCCUCCCCGACUGUGACACUAAGAGUUGUCGUCACACCGUACCCUACGAGUGACAUCCGUGACACCAAGCCUUUUCAGAGUCUGGGAAGAGGAGGAGACUAUGGGAUUCUACCUGCCUUCCUAUUAAGGCCAGUUGCUUUGUUUUGUUUUGUUUUUAAAAUAUUUUUUAUUGUGGCAAAAUACACAUAAAAUAAAAAUGAUCCCUUUAAGCAUUUUAAGUGUGUAGUGCUGGGACAUUAAGGACGUUCACCUUGUGAUGCCACCAUCACCUCCAUUCCUCUCCAGAACUUCUUCAUCAUCCCAAACUGAAACUCCAUACCCAUUAAAAAAUAACUUAUUUUACUCUCCAGCCAAAACCACUAUUCUACUUUCUGUCUCUGAAUUUUAUUGCUCUAGGAAAUAUAUAAAUGGAAUCACACAAAAUUUGUCUUCUGUGACUGGCUUACUUCAGCCAGCAUAAUGUCUUCAAGGUUCAUCCAUGUUUUAGUAUGUGUCAGGGUUUCCUCCCUUUUCAAGGUUGAGUAAUAUUCCAUUGUUUGUGUAUAUAGCAUUGUGCUUAGCUGUUUAUUUAUUGAAGAACGUUGGGUUGCUGUCGCCUUUUGACCUUUGUGAAAAAUGCUGCUAUGAAUGUGGGUGUAUACAUAUCUCUUUGAUUCCCUGCACUCAGUUCUUUUGGAUAUAUACCCAGAAGGGGAAUUGCUGGAUCAUCUAGUAUUUCUAUGGCAAAACCAGUUUCUAUUUGAAGACCUACCUUUUCCACCAGUACCUGAUGGAAUUGUGC